AGAGUUUGAUCCUGGCUCAGGACGAACGCUGGCGGCGUGCUUAACACAUGCAAGUCGAGCGGUAAGGCCUUUCGGGGUACACGAGCGGCGAACGGGUGAGUAACACGUGGGUGAUCUGCCCUGCACUUCGGGAUAAGCCUGGGAAACUGGGUCUAAUACCGGAUAUGACCUCCUAUCGCAUGGUGGGUGGUGGAAAGAUUUAUCGGUGCAGGAUGGGCCCGCGGCCUAUCAGCUUGUUGGUGGGGUAAUGGCCUACCAAGGCGACGACGGGUAGCCGACCUGAGAGGGUGACCGGCCACACUGGGACUGAGACACGGCCCAGACUCCUACGGGAGGCAGCAGUGGGGAAUAUUGCACAAUGGGCGAAAGCCUGAUGCAGCGACGCCGCGUGAGGGAUGACGGCCUUCGGGUUGUAAACCUCUUUCAGCAGGGACGAAGCGCAAGUGACGGUACCUGCAGAAGAAGCACCGGCUAACUACGUGCCAGCAGCCCGGGUAAUACGUAAGGGUGCAAGCGU
rnacentral:rRNA from 1 species